rnacentral:rRNA from 1 species
GACGAAGGGGGCUAGCGUUGUCCGGAAUCAUUGGGCGUAAAGCGCGUGUAGGCGGUCCGGUAAGUCCGCUGUGAAAGUCGGGGGCUCAACCCUCGAAUGCCGGUGGAUACUGUCGGGCUAGAGUGCGGAAGAGGCGAGUGGAAUUCCUGGUGUAGCGGUGAAAUGCGCAGAUAUCAGGAGGAACACCAAUUGCGAAGGCAGCUCGCUGGGACGUUACUGACGCUGAGACGCGAAAGCGUGGGGAGCAAACAGG